ACCGCAAAACAAGCAGAGGGGGCUUAGUGGUGGGGUGACUGCGUACCUUUUGUAUAAUGGGUCAGCGACUUAUAUUCUGUAGCAAGGUUAACCGAAUAGGGGAGCCGGAGGGAAACCGAGUCUUAAUUGGGCGUUAAGUUGCAGGGUAUAGACCCGAAACCCGGUGAUCUAGCCAUGGGCAGGUUGAAGGUUGGGUAACACUAACUGGAGGACCGAACCGACUAAUGUUGAAAAAUUAGCGGAUGACCUGUGGCUGGGGGUGAAAGGCCAAUCAAACCGGGAGAUAGCUGGUUCUCCCCGAAAGCUAUUUAGGUAGCGCCUCGUGAAUUCAUCUCCGGGGGUAGAGCACUGUUUCGGCUAGGGGGCCAUCCCGGCUUACCAACCCGAUGCAAACUGCGAAUACCGGAGAAUGUUAUCACGGGAGACACACGGCGGGUGCUAACGUCCGUCGUGAAGAGGGAAACAACCCAGACCGCCAGCUAAGGUCCCAAAGUCAUGGUUAAGUGGGAAACGAUGUGGGAAGGCCCAGACAGCCAGGAUGUUGGCUUAGAAGCAGCCAUCAUUUAAAGAAAGCGUAAUAGCUCACUGGUCGAGUCGGCCUGCGCGGAAGAUGUAACGGGGCUAAACCAUGCACCGAAGCUGCGGCAGCGAACGUAUCACCCAAGACAACUUUACGGAGUUGACGAUUGACGGAGCGAAGCGACGUCAAAGCGUUCAUUAAAGUCGAGUUGGCUUAGGGAUACGUUCGUUGGGUAGGGGAGCGUUCUGUAAGCCUGUGAAGGUGUGUCGUGAGGCAUGCUGGAGGUAUCAGAAGUGCGAAUGCUGACAUAAGUAACGAUAAAGCGGGUGAAAAGCCCGCUCGCCGGAAGACCAAGGGUUCCUGUCCAACGUUAAUCGGGGCAGGGUGAGUCGACCCCUAAGGCGAGGCCGAAAGGCGUAGUCGAUGGGAAACGGGUUAAUAUUCCCGUACUUGGUGUUACUGCGAAGGGGGGACGGAGAAGGCUAUGUUGGCCGGGCGACGGUUGUCCCGGUUUAAGCGUGUAGGUGUGUGUUCCAGGUAAAUCCGGUUCACUUUAACACUGAGGCGUGACGACGAGGCACUACGGUGCUGAAGCAACAAAUGCCCUGCUUCCAGGAAAAGCCUCUAAGCAUCAGGUAACAUCAAAUCGUACCCCAAACCGACACAGGUGGUCAGGUAGAGAAUACCAAGGCGCUUGAGAGAACUCGGGUGAAGGAACUAGGCAAAAUGGUGCCGUAACUUCGGGAGAAGGCACGCUGACACGUAGGUGAAGUGAUUUACUCAUGGAGCUGAAGUCAGUCGAAGAUACCAGCUGGCUGCAACUGUUUAUUAAAAACACAGCACUGUGCAAACACGAAAGUGGACGUAUACGGUGUGACGCCUGCCCGGUGCCGGAAGGUUAAUUGAUGGGGUCAGCGCAAGCGAAGCUCCUGAUCGAAGCCCCGGUAAACGGCGGCCGUAACUAUAACGGUCCUAAGGUAGCGAAAUUCCUUGUCGGGUAAGUUCCGACCUGCACGAAUGGCGUAAUGAUGGCCAGGCUGUCUCCACCCGAGACUCAGUGAAAUUGAACUCGCUGUGAAGAUGCAGUGUACCCGCGGCAAGACGGAAAGACCCCGUGAACCUUUACUAUAGCUUGACACUGAACAUUGAGCCUUGAUGUGUAGGAUAGGUGGGAGGCUUUGAAGUGUGGACGCCAGUCUGCAUGGAGCCGACCUUGAAAUACCACCCUUUAAUGUUUGAUGUUCUAACGUGGACCCGUAAUCCGGGUUGCGGACAGUGUCUGGUGGGUAGUUUGACUGGGGCGGUCUCCUCCUAAAGAGUAACGGAGGAGCACGAAGGUUGGCUAAUCCUGGUCGGACAUCAGGAGGUUAGUGCAAUGGCAUAAGCCAGCUUGACUGCGAGCGUGACGGCGCGAGCAGGUGCGAAAG
rnacentral:rRNA from 1 species